GUUAGGAGGGCACGAGGUACUACCAGUAGUCUUCCUUUUGUGUCAUCCCUCAUAUACCCUAACACCGAAUAGUUGGAUCAAAUAACGCCAGAUACUACCAAUAGCCUCUCCGUUGGCACCAUCCCUAUAAUGAGCAAUAUAGAAAACAAUCCGUCCGCUUUACAAAAAAAUGCUCUCACUCCCUUUGCAAGUAAAGAAUUUAUAGUGCUGAAAUUUAAAUACUACUUGCAAGUAAAGUAACUCGUAGCUUACCCUCCCACACUCUCAA
rnacentral:lncRNA from 1 species